rnacentral:rRNA from 1 species
UACGGUCAAGUCACGCUGAAACACCGGUUCUCGUUCGGUCACCGAAGUUAAGCAUCGUAGAGCCAGGUCAGUACUUAGAUGGGGGACCGCUUGGGAACACCUGGUACUGUAAG